rnacentral:misc_RNA from 1 species
GUGCCAUCGCGGCUCGUUGCACAGCCGCUACCCGGCUGUUACGCGUCCCGUAUACUCGCAUAUACUGCGGGCUUACCUUUGCCAGUAUCUGCAAGGAUCUGCCAGCGACCGCGGCCAGCACUCUGGACCUCAGGCUCACCGGCAGAC